rnacentral:snRNA from 14 species
AAACUUACCUUGCGAUAAUCAAAUAGCUGGUUUCACCAGGGUGAAACUUACAUAUUUAACUCGUGAUGUGAUGACCCCUGUGAUUUCCCUCAAGGUGGGAAGCUACACUAUAUAAUAACUGGUAGUGGGAGGCUCUGUUUGUGCUCUCCCC